UAAUAAGGGCGGGUAAGAAAGAGAGGUGAGGUGACUAGCUUAGUAACUUUAUUCAAUCUAAAAGGUUGGCUCAGUGCCCUAUCCGCCUUUAAGUGAAGGGGCGCAUCCACCGAAGAUGGCAGCGGGAAAGACGGGAGCACGAACGAGGUAGCUUAUGCUUUUUUUCAUCCUCACUACCUGGUUUAUAGUAGAAUCUGGAGAAUAUGAACUUCUCGCAUUCUUCUUUUUGGUACGUUGUUAUGAGCAGCUCUG
rnacentral:lncRNA from 1 species